ACGUUCGACACCUACGGAGGCAGCAGUGGGGAAUAUUGCACAAUGGGGGAAACCCCUGAUGCAGCAACGCCGCGUGAGUGAAGAAGUAUUUCGGUAUGUAAAGCUCUAUCAGCAGGGAAGAAAUGACGGUACCUGACUAAGAACGCCCCGGCUAACUACGUGCUAGCAGCCGCGGUAAUCUGAGCGGGCUGGCAAGGC
rnacentral:rRNA from 1 species